GACGAACGCUGGCGGCGUGCUUAACACAUGCAAGUCGAACGGUAAGGCCCUUCGGGGUACACGAGUGGCGAACGGGUGAGUAACACGUGGGUGAUCUGCCCUGCACUUCGGGAUAAGCCUGGGAAACUGGGUCUAAUACCGGAUAGGACCACUGCCUGCAUGGGUGGUGGUGGAAAGCUUUUGCGGUGUGGGAUGGGCCCGCGGCCUAUCAGCUUGUUGGUGGGGUGAUGGCCUACCAAGGCGACGACGGGUAGCCGGCCUGAGAGGGUGACCGGCCACCCUGGGACGGAGAUACGGCCCAGACUCCUACGGGAGGCAGCAGUGGGGAAUAUUGCACAAUGGGCGCAAGCCUGAUGCAGCGACGCCGCGUGAGGGAUGACGGCCUUCGGGUUGUAAACCUCUUUCAGCACCGACGAAGCGCAAGUGACGGUAGGUGCAGAAGAAGGACCGGCCAACUACGUGCCAGCCGCCGCCGUAAUAC
rnacentral:rRNA from 1 species